rnacentral:rRNA from 1 species
CCAGACUCCUACGGGAGGCAGCAGUGAGGAAUAUUGGUCAAUGGGCGGGAGCCUGAACCAGCCAAGCCGCGUGAAGGAAGAAGGCGCCAGGCGUCGUAAACUUCUUUUGUCGGGGAACAAAGGGCGCCACGCGUGGCGUUGUGAGUGUACCCGAAGAAAAAGCAUCGGCUAACUCCGUGCCAGCAGCCGCGGUAAUACGGAGGAUGCGAGCGUUAUCCGGAAUUACUGGGCGUAAAGGGCGCGUAGGUGGGCGCUUAAGUCAGGUGUGAAAACUCCGGGCUCAACCUGGAGACUGCACUUGAAACUGGGUGUCUUGAGGGCAGGAGAGGAAAGUGGAAUUCCUAGUGUAGCGGUGAAAUGCGUAGAUAUUAGGAGGAACACCAGUGGCGAAGGCGGCCUGCUGGACGAUGACUGACGUUGAGGCUCGAAAGCGUGGGGAGCAAACAGGAUUAGAUACCCCAGUAA